rnacentral:rRNA from 1 species
UGGGCAACCUGCCCCCCUCUCUGGGAUAACCCCGGGAAACCGGAGCUAAUACCGGAUACUCCGGCUGGAUCGCAUGGUCCGGCCGGGAAAGGUCCGCCGGAGAGGGAUGGGCCCGCGGCCUAUCAGCUUGUUGGUGGGGUAACGGCCUACCAAGGUAUCGACGGGUAGCUGGUCUGAGAGGACGACCAGCCACACUGAGACUGAGACACGGCCCAGACUCCUACGGGAGGCA